rnacentral:lncRNA from 10 species
CUCAUAUCUUUUCAUUUCUUUCUUCUUUUUCUAAUCUUUCACCUCUCUCCCGUCUUCAUGUCCUCCUCCUUCUAUUGAUUCUUUUCAUUUAAAUAUGUUUCGCAGAUUUUUAGAGGAUUAAUAAAACUUAAAAAAAAAUUAACACUGUUUUUUUAACUUGGUGAACCUUUCCAUUUCUUAUUUGGUGAAUGGCCUGAACUUCUACUUUGAUAGCAUGCAUACCUUUUUUUUAACUUGAUGUUUAAUAAAAGUUUUGUUUUUCUUUUUUCUUUAGCUAUGCAGAGUAUUAAGUUCAGUUCUCAAGAGAGCUGUAAUCAAACACAACCUGAUGUUUUACUUAAUUUUUCUUUCCUCUUUUCCUGAUAAAAUGUUUAAUUUCUAUAUGGUAAUUAUUUUUAUGGUUACUAUGUUCCAUGUUAUGUGUUAUGUCUUCCCUAAGAAUGUGAAUAAUAUGUGAUAUAUUUCCUAUUACUUUACUUUUUUAUAUUUAAAAUUUUAUUAUCUGAAAUGUUUUACAUAUAAAAUGAGUUAAGAAACUUUUUUUUAAAUAGAUAGUCAUUGUCCUAAUGACAAUUUCUUUUUUUCUUUUUUUUUUUUCUUUUGAGUCAGUGUCUCGCUCUCUUGCCUACACUGGAGUGCAGCAGCGUGAUUUGUCUCAGCUCACUGUAACCUCAACCUUCCAGGCUCAAGUGAUCCUUCUACUUCAGCUUCUUGAGUACCUGGGACUUACAGGCAUGUACCACCAAGUCCAGCUAAUUUUUAUUUUUAUAGAAAUGAGUUCUUGCCGUAUUUUCCAGGCUGGUCUCGAACUCCUGGGCUCAAGCGAUUCUCCCACAUAAGCCUCCCAAAGUGCUAGGAUUACAGGCAUAAGCCAGGGUGCCUGGUCCCUGAUGGCAAUUUCUGAAGCAAAUAAUCCCUUUAGAAUGGAUUUUAAGUAAGAUCCUCAUGGCACUCCUGAUUCCCAUACAUGCCUACAUUAGGACCUUAGCUCUCUCAUCUGGUUUCUGUUAGUGUAGUAAUGUGUAUUAUCACAGCUUUAUCUUCUGCUAAGCUUUCCCUUAUUACUUUUCUUUUACAGCAUUUAAUUAAUUUUACAGGUUUUAUUCCACAUAAUUUUUAAAUAAGUAGUCAAAGUAUUUGAAAGCUCCAGUGAAUUUUUGAUUAAAAUAUUUUAGAAUUAUAUUAUUUUGGGAAAACUUUUAAAUUUAUAACAUACAAUCAUGUAACCAAAGAACAUGACAUAUCUCUGCAUUAAGGUCUUCUUUGAUACUGGAGUCACUGUAUUUAUAGAGUUAUAGGUAUUGAUUGUAUCCUGAAUGAUAGAUGCAACAGAGGCGUCUUUGGAGAAACAGCAAGGAGAAAAAGCAAGUGAAACACUAUUAGGACAUAUUCAUACCAUACAUAUAAUGGAAAGCACCCUAGACUGUUACAUGUCAUGCCAUGAAAUUUCCUUUUUCAAAAUUCUUUCUGGAUGAAUAAGGCAGACUAAGGGUCAAGUUAUUCUGUUAGUAGAUGAUGCCUUAAGUAUUAUAUACCUUUGGUGGGAAAAGUAAUAGAGACGCUUAAAACUUGGGUCUAUACUAGAGCAGUAGGUACUUCCUUACAUCUACUGUACCUUAAGUCAUUUUAUAGUUUAAUAAGCUAUGAAAAAUUUAGUAACAGAUAUUCUAGAAACACACUUAUCUGUGCUUCUGCUAUCAUCAAAUGAUACUUAUGCAAUAGGCAACGAUGAUGCCUUCAAGUUAUCCCUAUAAAUUAUAUUUACAUUUUGAUAUCAUCCUAAUUGGUAGGAGGUAAUUCAUAUAUCUGUGCACCAUGAUAUAAAAAUAAAAUGUGGUUUUCCCUACUGAACAAAAGCAAGUUUUUCAAAUGUGUUUUAUAGAAUUAAUGCAUUACAGACAGAAAGGAAAAAAUGGAUUGGGUAGGUCAGUUAUUGUAAAACUAAAGUAGUUAAGUUUCAUAUUUCUUGACAAAGAAACUUUGCUGGGUGCUGGUGGAACAAGGACAGAAAUAAUUUAAUUCAGCUGGCACAUUCUGCGUCUGCAAAUAAACCAAAACAUACGCACAGCGCUCCACAUUGUUGCCUGUCAUCCUAUUAUAUGUCUUUAUCAUCUCUUUCUUGAACUACAAUAAUCUAGCUGGGUCCUUUGCUUCCACUUGUCCCUUUAUAAUUCUUCAGACAGUGACCUUUUUUAAAACAAAUCAGACCAUGUUAUUUUUUUGUUUAAAGUUUUCUAUGUCCUUUCAAUAAAAACCAACCUCUGAUCAUGGCCCCAGUUUUCUGCACAAAUGUUCUAGUCCACUUGAUAAUAGUCUUUCUUAACUUCUUUUAUCAUUCUUGGCUUAAGGAUCUUUUUGUAUGUUUUUUUUUAUUCCAACUUGACUUUUUCCUCUAGAUCUUUGUUAAGCUGAUUUCUUCUAAUUAUUUAGAUUCCUGCUUAAAAUAUCACCUUCUCAGAGAAAUGUUUCUUGUCAGCUAUCUAAGUUGCUUCCCC